rnacentral:tRNA from 1 species
GGGGAUGUAGCUCAGUGACAGAGCACUUGCCUAGCAUGAGCAAGGCCCUGUGUUAGAAUCCUAGCAUGCCCC